rnacentral:rRNA from 1 species
GUGUCAGCAGCCGCGGUAAUACGGAGGGUGCAAGCGUUAUCCGGAUUCACUGGGUUUAAAGGGUGCGUAGGAGGGCAGGUAAGUCAGUGGUGAAAUCUCCGAGCUUAACUUGGAAACUGCCGUUGAUACUAUCUGUCUUGAAUAUUGUGGAGGUGAGCGGAAUAUGUCAUGUAGCGGUGAAAUGCUUAGAUAUGACAUAGAACACCAAUUGCGAAGGCAGCUCGCUACACAUAUAUUGACUCUGAGGCACGAAAGCGUGGGGAUCAAACAGGAUUAGAUACCCUGGUAGUCCACGCCCUAAACGAUGGAUACUCGACAUACGCGAUACACAGUGUGUGUCUGAGCGAAAGCAUUAAGUAUCCCACCUGGGAAGUACGACCGCAAGGUUGAA